rfam:Legionella shakespearei DSM 23087 strain ATCC 49655 Lsha_ctg046, whole genome shotgun sequence.
AGACAGCGCUAUCGCGCUUCCUCAGCCCGAACGGCAUCGAAGUAAACACUGGCUCAAACAACUUUCUUAUCCGAAACUCACG